rnacentral:rRNA from 1 species
UACAUGCAAGUCGAGCGAACAGACGAGGAGCUUGCUCCUCUGACGUUAGCGGCGGACGGGUGAGUAACACGUGGAUAACCUACCUAUAAGACUGGGAUAACUUCGGGAAACCGGAGCUAAUACCGGAUAAUAUAUUGAACCGCAUGGUUCAAUAGUGAAAGACGGUUUUGCUGUCACUUAUAGAUGGAUCCGCGCCGCAUUAGCUAGUUGGUAAGGUAACGGCUUACCAAGGCAACGAUGCGUAGCCGACCUGAGAGGGUGAUCGGCCACACUGGAACUGAGACACGGUCCAGACUCCUACGGGAGGCAGCAGUAGGGAAUCUUCCGCAAUGGGCGAAAGCCUGACGGAGCAACGCCGCGUGAGUGAUGAAGGUCUUCGGAUCGUAAAACUCUGUUAUUAGGGAAGAACAAAUGUGUAAGUAACUAUGCACGUCUUGACGGUACCUAAUCAGAAAGCCACGGCUAACUACGUGCCAGCAGCCGCGGUAAUACGUAGGUGGCAAGCGUUAUCCGGAAUUAUUGGGCGUAAAGCGCGCGUAGGCGGUUUUUUAAGUCUGAUGUGAAAGCCCACGGCUCAACCGUGGAGGGUCAUUGGAAACUGGAAAACUUGAGUGCAGAAGAGGAAAGUGGAAUUCCAUGUGUAGCGGUGAAAUGCGCAGAGAUAUGGAGGAACACCAGUGGGGGUAUGGGAGGGGUUUUUAAAAA